CAUUAUUGAAAUAAACCUGAUGGGUUGCUGCUGGCUCUCUAGGGAGCAAGUGCACACUUGUCAUCUUUAUAUCUCCACCUGUGCACCUUUUGUAGAUCUGGAUAUCUUUCUGAAUGCCUGGCAUUCAGGUUUGAGGAAUUGACUUUUGUCUUUUCCUUACAUUUCCAGGCCUAUGUUUUCUUCAUAUACACCAUUUAUGUUAUAGAAUGUAAUUGAAAGGGCCUUUGUGCCUACAAACCUUAUACAACUUUCAGCAACGGAUCUCUUGGCUCUCGCAUCGAUGAAGAACGCAGCGAAAUGCGAUAAGUAAUGUGAAUUGCAGAAUUCAGUGAAUCAUCGAAUCUUUGAACGCACCUUGCGCUCCUUGGUAUUCCGAGGAGCAUGCCUGUUUGAGUGUCAUUAAUAUAUAUCAACCUCUUCAGGUUUUUACUUGUCGAGUGUUUGGAUGUGGGGGGGGUCUUUUUUGCUGGUCUCUUUUGAGGUCAGCUCCCCUAAAAUACAUUAGCAGAACAAUUUGUUGACCCGUUCAUUGGUGUGAUAACUAAUCUACGCUUUUGACGGUGAAACAGGGUUCAGCUUCUAACAGUCCAUUGACUUGGACAAUUUUCAUUAAUGUGACCUCAAAUCAGGUAGGACUACCC
rnacentral:rRNA from 1 species